CUGGAAACGAUCCACAACUUUCGGUCAUGAUGGCCUCAGUCUUUACCACUAUACCAUGAUGGCAACGAUGGAAACAGCUAACAUAUUGCAAUAGUUCAAUAUUCUUUGUUUUCAGUUCUACUUGAUGUAUGUAGAUUUUUUGCAAUUCACCCUGGACAAGAAUUCUCUUCAGAGUUGUUCAUCCUUGUUCAUCUCUCGUCAUCCUUGGUUAAAUCGACUCAAAAUUGUCCUAAUAUACAAAAAAUAUCUAAAUAUGAAUAUUCAGCUAUUAGGAGGUGCGAUUUAGAAACUUUUUUGGAAAAAUAAUGGCAAAAAGAGAUAAAGAAAAAUUAUACGAAAAGUUACGAGAGUUUUAUCUGGAAACGGUCCACAACUUUCGGUCAUGAUGGCCUCAGUCUUUACCACUAUAUCAUGAUGGCAACGAUGGAAACAGCUAACAUAUUGCAAUAGUUCAAUAUUCUUUGUUUUCAGUUCUACUUGAUGUAUGUAGAUUUUUUGCAAUUCACCCUGGACAAGAAUUCUCUUCAGAGUUGUUCAUCCUUGUUCAUCUCUCGUCAUCCUUGGUUAAAUCGACUCAAAAUUGUCCUAAUAUACAAAAAAUAUCUAAAUAUGAAUAUUCAGCUGUUAGUAGGUGCGAUUUAGACACUUUUUUUGAAAAAUAAUGGCAAAAAGAAAUAAAGAAAAAUUAUACGAAAAGUUACUAGAGUUUUAUCUGGAAAAGGUCCACAACUUUCGGUCAUGAUGGCCUCAGUCUUUACCACUAUACCAUGAUGGCAACGAUGGAAACAGCUAACAUAUUGCAAUAGUUCAAUAUUCUUUGUUUUCAG